UGAGAACAUCAUGUUCUCGCCAAGACAGGAAUAUAGUCCAGGCCUUGUUAAUGAACAUCCAAUUCCCAAGGUGAUGAAUAGCUGUAAAAUAGAAGAAAUGAUAACAGUAGAAUUUGAAAGUUGGACAUGGUGGUUCAUGCCUAUAAUCGUAGCACUCAAAAGGCUGAAACAGGCCAUAACUUUAAGUUCAGCCUGGCCUGUAGAGCAAGUACCAGGCAAGCCUAGGCUCUAGUGUGGGACCCCACCUCCAAGAGUUAAGAUACAAUCCUAAAUUCAAUGAUUCAUUUAGAAUAAAUGUUUUACUUUAUCUCCACAUGAGGAAGAGUAUCUCUAUUAAUUAGAUUAUAACUCUGGAGGGGAGAAUAAAGGGAUUUCACUGAAGAAACAGAGUCUUAUCUUGUUUUUGAAAUAGCAUGAUGACUUAAUUAAAUUCCUCAGCUUAUCACUGAUGUCACCUAAGAAAUAGAUGACUAUCUUUUAGAACAACUGAAUUAAUGAUGUCAUUACAGCUUCUAGUGCCCUUAAGAAAAGAUUUUGACACUCAUCAGAUCCAGUGUACAUGGGCUGACAGGCCACUAUCACUCAGAUGAAAAGUCAAACCACUCAGAGGAUCCUGGAGUGCCCUUCAACUGGCCAAGCCCGAGGACUCCCAGCUCUGCUCCCUGGCAGCCUGUCUGGCCAGGCAUGCGACAAACCCAGAGAGCAUGACAUUUCUUUUAAUAAACAAGGUGGCACUUGCUGCCUUGGUCACAGCUGACUUCUAAAAAUGCAGCACCCAGGAUUGAGGUCUGUUACAGCUUUGGGGAGUCCUGUACACUGGGCUGUGAACAAGAGAAAAGAAUGUAGAUUGGGUGCUGGUUAAUUCCAAGUAGUUACAUUUCUAGUGGUUAGCCGUAUUAUCUGAACUAAAUUGAACGGACAGAGGGCAGAGGGCAAAGAAAAAAAUCCAUGUUUCAGAGACAGAGAAGACACUGCAGUUGAAAAUCCAGAGACCCGGAAUGAGAAGCUGGUGGCCUUUCCUAGGAGAGAGCUGCACUGGACUUCUUGGUGUUGGUCUCCCAGAUUGCUGUUCUUCAAAGGGGGAUGUUAGAAUUGCCUACAGCUGGGCUGCCUAAUAGAAGUCCAAGUUCUGGGAUUCCACCCUUGAAGAGGAAUGAAUCUGUAUUUAGUGAGACCUUACCCUAUUGCCCAGCUGCUGGGCUGAAGAAAGAAAAGCAGCCUCCUAGCCUAGUAGUUUGGAGAAUGCCCACUUGUUCUUCAAAGAGAGAUGUGCAAUGCCAAGAAUUUGCAUGAAAAGCAUUUCUUGCUCCUGCAGUUACAAUCUAAAUGAUCUCUAGCUAACAGCUGAAACCAAAGAAUGCUGAAAUGGGAGCAGCGUCUGACUUUGGGAUUAUCUCAUUCACAUCUCCUUUAUAUAUUUUAGUUCAGCUGUUGAACUCUCUCAAAAUGGCAGUCUGAAAACAAUGAACUAUUACAGACAAAACUAAGCUAUAUGUGUAUACUUCAUAAGGCUUUGUCUUCCUAUGAGGAAUCAGAAAGCUGCUAUUUUACAGCUAUUGGGGAAUCUGUGUUUCUAAACUCCUGGUUAAGAAUUUAAAUAACAUUUAUUUUUAUUUCUCUCUCUCUUUUUUUAACC